GGCCAAGUAGCUCAGUUGGUUAGAGUGCCGGCCUGUCACGCCGGAGGUCGAGGGUCCGAACCCCUUCUUGGUCGCCA
rnacentral:tRNA from 1 species